AUUGAACGCUGGCGGCAUGCCUUACACAUGCAAGUCGAACGGCAGCACGGGGCAACCUGGUGGCGAGUGGCGAACGGGUGAGUAAUGCAUCGGAACGUACCUUUCAGUGGGGGAUAACGUAGCGAAAGUUACGCUAUUACCGCAUAUUCUGUGAGCAGGAAAGCAGGGGAUCGCAAGACCUUGCGCUGAUUGAGCGGCCGAUGUCAGAUUAGCUAGUUGGUGAGGUAAAGGCUCACCAAGGCGACGAUCUGUAGCGGGUCUGAGAGGAUGAUCCGCCGCACUGGAACUGAGACACGGUCCAGACUCCUACGGGAGGCAGCAGUGGGGAAUUUUGGACAAUGGGGGCAACCCUGAUCCAGCCAUGCCGCGUGAGUGAGGAAGGCCUUCGGGUUGUAAAGCUCUUUCGGCCGGGAAGAAAUCGCACGGGCUAAUACCCUGUGUGGAUGACGGUACCGGAAUAAGAAGCACCGGCUAACUACGUGCCAGCAGCCGCAGUAACAC
rnacentral:rRNA from 1 species